UGCCUUUGGUGAUUCUCCUAAUAUGAUUUUUUUAAUAUUUAUUCUUGUUUAUUCAUAAUUGUUUUUUCUAUUCCUAUUCUUUUUUUUUCGAAAAUGUUUUUUACUUAAGUAUAAACCAUUAAUUGCUUGAUGUUACGCAUCGUCAAUUAGUUUUGUGUUCACAAUUUCUGAUUUUUAAGAAUUAAGAUUGUGAUUAUUGGUCAAGUUUAGGUUGUGGAUCAUUUACAUUUUUUAGUUCUGAG
rnacentral:lncRNA from 1 species